CUCUGCGCACGCGCGGCCGCCGGGCCCGCGGGGCUCUUAAAGGCGCCGCGUCCCCGGGACCGACCUCCCCGGUAACCGGGAUGGAGGCGGCUGCCCCGGCCCCGGGCUGGCGCUGCCGGCCGGGCGGGCGGCUCGACAUGAGCCACGGCUUCGUGCGGCACAUCCGCCGCAACCAGCUCGCCAGGGACGCUUACGACCGCGCCGUGCGGCAGGCGCGGGGCCGGGCGCGCACCCGGCUCACCCCGAACCCGCCCCGGCCCCGCCGGCCCGACCAGCAGGUGUACCGGCCCCGGGGCUGCGGUGCCACAGGGGGUCCCGGGGGCGAUGCCAGUGCGGGGCCCCCCCCCGGCGACCCCCGCGGGGCCCCCCCUGACCCCUCCCGGGGGCCACGGCUCUUCUGCCUCGAGUACGAGGGGGACGACGGGACCGUCACGGCCGUGAUCGUGCACCAGGAGGACAGCGCGGAGGAGGUGACGCGCCGGGUGUGCGCCCGCAGCCCCCUGGAGCCCCCCCUGCGCAGGGCCCUGUGCCAGCGCGUGCAGGACGAGCUCAGCAAGCGCCGGGGCACGGGCUGACCCUGCCACACCCCCCAGGGGACACGGGCACCCCCCCGGGACGGUGCCACCCCCCCAGGGACCGGUGCCACCCCCGCCGGUGUCAAUAAAGGGUCUCCCUCGAGUGGGUCCAGCACAUUUGUUAUUGUAGGGUCUCCAUGAAGAUCAUCCUGCUGGUUUGUUAUUGUAGGGUUUCUCCAAAUAAAUCCUGGUGGUUAUCUA